GGCCUGUUAGGUCGGGUCGGAUUGAAAAUCCGCGUGUCGACGGUUCGAUUCCGCCCCUGGCCACCA
rnacentral:tRNA from 1 species